UACAGAGGUCUCAAGCGUUGUUCGGAUUCAUUGGGCGUAAAGGGCGCGUAGGCGGCUUAACAAGUCACUUGUGAAAUCUCCGGGCUUAACUCGGAACGGCCAAGUGAAACUGUCAAGCUAGAGUGCAGAAGGGGCAAUCGGAAUUCUUGGUGUAGCGGUGAAAUGCGUAGAUAUCAAGAGGAACACCUGAGGUGAAGACGGGUUGCUGGGCUGACACUGACGCUGAGGCGCGAAAGCCAGGGGAGCAAACGGG
rnacentral:rRNA from 1 species